CUGGGAUGGUCAGUUAACAUCAACAUGACAAUAUUACAGAUGAAGGAACUAAAGUCACUCAUGAGGAAGAGCUAGAAAAUGCUGAAUCUACAAACUCAGAAUGUGUUGAAGAGCCAUCAUGUAGCACAUUGAGGACACAAAAAGAUAAUGUCGAUAAUACAGAAGAUAAUUGUUAGAUUCACCUGGAAACACUGGAUGAAAAUACAAUUACAGAGGAAGAUGAUGAUGCCACCCAAAUAGGGACACCCACUAUUCCAGCGAUUUCCGAACCCCCAGAGAUAGACAUGGGUCAAGGACAUGUAUCACAUCCAAAUUCUAUUCACAUUAGCAGAAGACCAGAGCUAGAAUUGAUUAACGAAAUGACUUCUAUUUUUUUUAUGAACGCAAAAUGAUAAGCAAAGGGGAAAGAAACACUCUAUUGAAGGAACAAAAUAAUAUAUUGAGGGCAAGAAAUGAGCUGUUGAUCAAAAACAAUGAAUUAUUGUGUGACCUUGUAAAGAAAAUGGAAAAACUCACAUAUGGUAACACAUUAAUUUAAAAUAAUUAUGCUGUACAUAUAGCCUUAAAGGAGUGAUUUUCCUUAAUAAAAUUAAUACAAUUAACAAUUUUCCAUUGUUUGCAAAAAAUAAAAAUGAUUUCUCAUCUCAUGUAGGCUUUUGAUUGUACUGAGAGUCCAUGUUUCACAAAAAUGAAUACAAUAAAUAACAUCAAUAAACGCUACUUGUAUUGAAUAAUCCAAAA